ensembl:lncRNA
CGGAUAGACAGGAAUGUGUCUGUACAAAACUCAAGAGUACCGUCAGCUGACCGGCUUCAAGUUCAUAUGUUCUGAACUGUUCACACACACAGACAGCCUUCAGAAAAGAGAAGAGAAACACAAAUUGUCAAAAAUGUCUUUGACUGAUCAGACUGCACAGCCCAGUCCCCAGCUGCUUUUGGUGGGUGAGAAGGACAGCAAGCGUCUGCUAGAGGUCUUUGUGAAGAGAAGCCUAAGCCUUAACGAUGGAGCACAGCAUCCACAUCACCGAAAGCACCAAACACACAAGUGGAUUACUCUUGAUGAGAGGAAUAAGAGGGAUCGGAAACAUUCCAGUGACACUUCGAUUCACCUUAACACCUUAAAUUCAGAGGAGGAUCUUGAUAAAUAUGAGGCGUUCUCUGAGCCGGAAACAGAGAGGAAGCUCAAGCCAACAGUGGAACAACCACAGAACAAAUCUAAGCAGAAGAAUAAAAAAGUCAAUCUCGGAAGAAAUGACGGAUCCACUGCAUCUCAAAAAUCUGAUGGAAAGCCCAAAAAGUGGCUCCUACACUUUGAUAAAGAAAAGCGAGAUGGUAAACAACCAAACAAAGCUCUGAAACAAGAGUCAAAUGACUUUAGAGAUGAGGUAUUACCACAUCCCCCUGUCACUGACGAGCUGGAGAGCUCUACAGAGGCAAAGAGGCCCAAGGAGAGCAAGAAGAGUAAGAAAUCUUCAGUGUGGAAGAGUGUCCUGGGGUGGUUCUCUAGAGGGAACAGUGAAAAGCAGGAGGAUAAAGAAAAGGAAGUUGCAAGAGCUGAAGAAGUUAUCCCACCUGAGGAGCCCUCAAGUCCCCCAAUCUCCUGCCUGCCUUUUCCUGAUGUUCUCCCUAGUGGUGAUGCCAUCAUCCAGCGGCGCAGAGCUUCCAAGCGGCGGAAGCUGUCACUAAAGAGACGCAGCAGGGACAUGGGACUAGAUAAGGCCACUGGGAGGCCAUGUACUUUAGAUUUGUCUACUGCUGACCAUGAAACUUCAGUGAAAUCAAUUGCCGAAGUCGAGCCCACUAACUCAUAUUAUGAGAAAAUGUCGGAGGAACUGGAGAAGAUUGUUCAUGAGAUUAAAAACAGCCCAAUAGAGGAGAACAGAACUUUCCUUGAUCAGUCUCUUAAUGGAUCAUCCAUGUCUAAGGAAGAAGUUAUCAAGAGGAUUGUUGCCCUUAUUAAGCAGGAGGGAGACAUCAUAGAUGUUAAGCUGAAGGAGAAUCCCACCAUCACCUCAUACUUCAACAUGCUGUCCUAUGGCUCAUUCCAGCAAUUGGCAGACCAGUAUGUACAGUCAGAGCUGCCCAGGCAGGAAGCGCAGCCUUUAGUAGCAGCUCCAGAGCUAGUGAAGUUUGCCUUCACUCUGGACUUUACGGCCAGAGUGGCCAGUCUCUCUCGCCAUGCUCCCGGACACAUAGUCGGCUUCGGGAACCAGUACUUGAAGGACAGGUUUACUCACAAGAGUGAGAGUCAUCCUCACAACAGUGACAUCACAACAACAGAAAAACAGAAGCAAGAGGAAAUACACUCUGAAAAAGAAGGAGUCAGAAGCCAUAAUACUGAGGAAAACUGAGGGACGGGUGGAAAUAUAUAACCUCAUCGUGGAGUUGAAGGAGCUUCAUGGGUCUCUGACUGCUUGGAAACUUUGAUCUAUGUUGAAGGUUGUGAGAGAAAUGUGUAAAAUGUAUCAUAUAUCAUAUAUGCUAAAUUGCUAGCAUGUUAUAAUUCUACUGUUUAAUGAGAGUUCCCAUACUACAACUAGGGUCAUUGUGUAAGCUAUCAUCAAUCUUAGUGGACUUGGUACUGUGUGCAAAAGUGUCAACCACUUUCCUAAGCAGAGGCCAAUGGAAUCUGUUUUAUAAUCUAUUUAAACAUGUAUGUAAUAUAUUUGCACUUGGUUAGAAAAUUAACACAACAAAAACACUGUGACAAAGGCAGUAAACGCUUUCUCUAAAGCUCUUACAGCCAAAGUAAACAAACCAUAAAAUUCUUCAUAUUUUUUUUAUUUUUAUUUUUCAUUAAAUGUAUCAGUGUCUUCUUGUAAGCUAUUUAACAAACAUUAAAUAUGCUACAGGUGUGUAUGCAGGCGUACACAAUGUAAUAACAAUGAAAUAUUAUUAAUAAAUAUAUUUUGUACAUAUUUAUU